CGAACGGUAACAGGUCUUCGGACGCUGACGAGUGGCGAACGGGUGAGUAAUACRUCGGAACGUGCCCAGUCGUGGGGGAUAACUACUCGAAAGAGUGGCUAAUACCGCRUACGAUCUGAGGAUGAAAGCGGGGGACSUUCGGGCCUCGCGCGAUUGGAGCGGCCGAUGGCAGAUUAKGUAGUUGGUGGGAUAAAAGCUUACCAAGCCGACGAUCUGUAGCUGGUCUGAGAGGACGACCAGCCACACUGGGACUGAGACACGGCCCAGACUCCUACGGGAGGCAGCMGUGGGGAAUUUUGGACAAUGGGCGAAAGCCUGAUCCAGCAAUGCCGCGUGCAGGAUGAAGGCCUUCGGGUUGUAAACUGCUUUUGUACGGAACGAAAAAGCUUCCCCUAAUACGGGAGGCCCAKGACGGUACCGUAAGAAUAAGCWCCGGCUAACUACGUGCCASCRGCCGCGGUAAUACGUAGGGUGCGAGCGUUAAUCGGAAUUACKGGGCGUAAAGCGUGCGCAGGCGGUUUUGUAAGACAGAGGUGAARUCCCCGGGCUCAACCUGGGAACUGCCUUUGUGACUGCWAKGCUASAGUACCGCAGAKGGGGAUGGAAUUCCGCGUGUA
rnacentral:rRNA from 1 species